rnacentral:misc_RNA from 1 species
UUGGAGAAGGUUCCCAGGGUCAGGUAAAAAUGUUGAUUCAUUAUAAAAAGCAAAAUGAAAAUGAUAUUUAUUACUAUAUCCUGUCCAUAUUAUUCGUCAUUUUGGACGUUGAACGAUUCGAAUCUAGUCAAAUACAUAAUCUACAUGAGUAUACGAGUCCGUAGAUACUCAUAUUGCUAUACUUUUAGUCUAGACCCAAAAAGUCAGACCCGAACAACUGUUGACAUUUUAGAAAAACUAA